UCGAUAUAAUAAUGAGCAGAAUUGAUGGAGAUAUCAAGGAUAUUACUUAAAUUAAACAAUAAAUAAUACAGAUUAUUAAAACAAAAGAACAUUGAACAAAUAACAAGCAAACCCGAUCAUUUCGGGAAGCAUACAUCAAAUUUUGGCUGAGGAAACGGAGUUGCCAAAAAAAGGCCAAAAAGGAAUAAAAAUCAUGGAAUUAAAUGGCGAAAAUGACUUAAUAGUUAAAAUUAGUAGUAGGUCGGAGGAGGAGAUGCUGAUGGGGGUGGAGGUGAAGCAUAGGUGGCGGAUUUCUCGUACUUCUCAGGCGGUGCUGGUGACACAUAGGUAGGAGUUUGCUUGUAAUAGUUUGUUGGUGGUGGAGGUGAGUAAUAAGAUGGUGAUUUUUCAUAGGUCUUUGGUAGAGAUGGCAAGUUGUAAGUUAUAGGUGGUUGCUCGUAGUAUUUUGGUGGAGGUGGAGGAGAUUUAUAAGAAGGUGUAGAUCCUUUGUAGUAUGGAGGAGGUGGAGAUUUAUAAGAAGAUAGUGAUUGCUCAUAGUAUUUUGGUGGGGAUGGAGAUGACUUGUAAUAAGGUGAUUGCUUUAUAGUAUGGUGGAGGUGGAGAUUUGUAAGAAGAUGGUGACUGCUCAUUGUAUGUUGGAGGAGGUGGGGGUGAAUUAUAGUACGAAGGUGAUUUCUCAUAAUAAGUUGGCGGUGGUGGAGAUUUAUAGUAAACUGGGGACUUGUAAUUUUUUUUUGGUGCCGGUAACUUAUAAUAUUUAGAAGGAGCAGGUGAUUUAUAGUAUUUUGUUGCGGAUGGUGACGUGUAGUACUUUGCAGGUGAUGGCGCUUUGUAGUACUUUGCAGGUGAUGGUGACUUGUAGUAGUUCAAUGAAGGAGCUGGUGACUUGUAGUAUUUUGAAGGAGCUGAUGACUUGUAGUAUUUUGCAGGAGCUGGGGACUUGUAGUAUUUUAUGGGAACUGGCGAUUUGUAGUAUUUUACAAGAGCUGGCACCUUGUAGUAUUUUGCGGGAACUGGCGAUUUGUAAUAUUUUGCGGAAGCUGGAGAUUUGAAAUAUUUUACAGGAGUUGGCCACUUGUAAUAGUGCUUUACGCUGGCGAUUUGUAGUGUUUUACAAGAGCUGGCACCUUGUAGUAUUUUGCGGGAACUGGCGAUUUGUAAUAUUUUGCGGGAACUGGAGAUUUGUAAUAUUUUACGGGAGCUGGCGACUUGUAAUAGUGCUUUACAGGAAGAGGUGACUUAUAGUAAGGAAUAGGUACAUGAUACUUGGAUGGAGAUGGAGAUUUGUAAUACUUCUUAGAGGUGUAAGAAGGUGAGGGAGAAGCAUACCCAUAAGAGUAAUCAGCAACGACAGAGCUGGCUAUAAAGCAAAUUGCCAAAGCAACUGCAAGUAAAGGCCAUUGUCCCAGCUUCCCUAUGCUUGUCAUUUUGCUUAUGAUACAACCAAUAUUUGGAGAAAGAAUGAAAAGAACUUAAACUUGACUUGCAUAUUGAGUAGUGAGCAUAUUUGGAGAAGAAUGAAAAGAACUUAAACUUGACUUGGAUAUUGAGUAGGGAGCUCUGGCUUUUAUAUAGGAACAUAAUAUUAUCAUUUUAGGGUUGUGUUAUUGGGCAUCCACUAAGAUUAUAGCUAAGUCAAAAUAUGGACUUCAUCUUUUCUAGAAUUAGUGGUAGGCAUUAUCUCCAGUCGAGUAGAAAACUCUGGUUUUUAUAUUUCAGUGAGAUAUCUUUAUUAAUUAGGACUAACAUUUAUGUAAUUGUUCUUGGUUAGCCACAAAGAUUAUAAAGCAAAGGCCAAAUAAAUAAGGGCCUUUUCACUUUUAAUCUGCCAAAAAUUAUUUAUAUUUAGUAGCCGAAAAAAUAUAUAAAUUUUUUUAUGAUUUUUAUUUAUAACAUAUAGAAUUUAUAUAUACAUAUAAAAUAUAUAUAUUUUUCGGCUAUUAUUUUGAGAGCUGCUAUAGAGUAUAAUUUUCUAAUAAAUAAUAAGCCAGUACUUAAUGGUUAGCUUUUUUCUGUUGACUGGAAAACAAUUUAGAGAUAAAUAUUAAAAAUGGAGAAAACAAUAAGGAUGCCACGACUUGCAUCCCAUUAGCGAAGAUUAAGUUGACUUUUACAAAUAAUUACGGUAUGCUAUUGAAUAUGCAGUUCAAAAACUAUCAGGAAAACCAGCAAAUACACACAUCAGAGUAUACCUUAAGGGGUCAUUUGAUUCAGUUAUAGAAUAUUCAAUGAGACUAUAAUUCUGGGAUAGGGUGGUUGAAGUAAGGUUGAGAAUGACGGUGUCCGUUUCCGACAACCAGUUUGAUUUCACGCCGGGUCGUAUUACUGCUGAAGCUAUACAUCUUGCUAGGAAGUUGGUUGAACGGUAGAGAGAUAGAAAGAAAUAACUGCACAUGGGGUUAUUAUGGGGUUACCCCAAGGUUUUGCACUCAUUCCGUUCCUAUUCGCCCUAGUGAUGGACGCUUUAUCACAUCACAUUCAAGAGGAUGGGCCAUGGUGCAUGCUAUUUACAGAGACAUAGUUUUGAUUGAUGAGUCACGAACCAGUGUUAACGAGAGGCUGGAGGUUUAGAGGCAUGCUCUUAAAUCUAAGUUUUUCAAGCUUAGCACGACAAGACGAAAUACCCGGAGUGUAUGUUCACCGCUGAACAGAGGGAAGUGGGUGUGAAUGUGAGGCUUGAAUCCCAGGUCAUCCCGAGUAGAGACAUCAUCAAGUACCUUGGGUCGGUUAUCCGNNNNNNNNNNNNNNNNNNNNNNNNNNNNNNNNNNNNNNNNNNNNNNNNNNNNNNNNNNNNNNNNNNNNNNNNNNNNNNNNNNNNNNNNNNNNNNNNNNNNNNNNNNNNNNNNNNNNNNNNNNNNNNNNNNNNGGGGGGGGGGGGGGGGAAGAUCGACAAGGAUGUUACACACCGUAUUGGGUAGAAUUGAUAAAGUGGAGGUUAGCAAAUGGAGUAUUGUGUGACAAGAGAGUGCCACUGAUACUCAAACGUAAGUUCAAUAAAGCGGUGGUUAGGCCGGCCAUGAUAUAUGGGGCAGAGUGUUGGCUAGUUAAUAAAUCACAUACCCAGAAGAUGAAGGUAGCAUAAAUGAGGAUGUUGAGGUAGAUGUGCGGGCAUAUUAGGAUUGAUAAGAUUCGGAAUUAUGAUAUUUGGGAGAGGUGUGCGUAGCUCCCAUUGAUGACAAGAUGUGGGAAGUAAGGCUCAGAUGGUUCCGGCAUGUUCAGAGGAAAAGCCCAGAUGCUCCGGUAAGGAGGUGCGAACGACUGGUUGUGGAGGGCACGAGAAGAGGUAGGGGCGGCCUAAGAAGCAUUAGGGGGAGGUGAUUAGGAAGGAGAUGACGAGUCUUCAGAUUUACGAGGACAUGGCACUUGAUAGAAAUAUGUGGAGGUUGAGUAUGAGGGUUGCACGUUAAGAGGUAGUCGAGUCUUGUCUUAUGCCAUAACUUUGUGUGACUAGUUUGGUAGGGAUACUAUUUUGCUUUUGGUUUGUAUCAUUCUUCUUAAUUGCAUGUUGUUUCUAUUUUUUGUAUUUUUUCACAUUAUAUAUGUGGUGUUACUAAUAUUAUCUUCUUUUGUAUUUUUGUCUUCUUGAGCCGAGGAUCUUUCGAACCACAACUAGAUCAUAAUUUUUUUAAUAUUUGAGAGAGCUUCUAUUGUUAAAAAUUGUAGUGAGAUAGAAUUGAACUCACAACCUAUUCUAACUUAAGAGUCUAUUAAAACAAUGGAUUAAGGUUAUUUCUUAUUGAGUAAUAUGAUAAUUAAUAUUAUUUACUAUGUGCUCUUCUAUAAAUAUCGACACCAUUUACGAAAAAUCAUACGUACGCCCCUACAUUUGGUAUGAAUACUAUUUCGGUAUUAGCUUAUAUCCACAUUCAAAUAGGAGAUAACUAUUCACAAAUUUUAUACACGGAUUAAUAUCUUUAUCAUGUUAACCAAAUGACCCCUAAAUGUAUCGGUAUGAGUGUAUUGAGAAAAUUUGAGUUUACAUAAUAAAGUGGAAUAAAGAUGACGUCUCAAGGACACGUAGACUGAUAAAAAAUUUUCAACUGGCAAAGAGAUACGAGUUGCAACAGAUACGAGCAAAGACUGAGGAAGAGGCACGGGUAGUUAUUCAAAUGACUCAGCGCCCGUACCUAUUUAAGUCCUUGAAGUCCGAGAAUCAAAGGAAAUGAGUCUGAUAAUAUAAAAGAAUACAGAUAUAGCAUUUAAUGUUGAAUACAUUAGGGAAUCUGUAUUAAUAUAAUUAUUAUGUAACGUAGCAUUCAAUGUCUUUAAUUACUCAUAAUAUCCUCAUUAUGGCAUAGGCAAAAUGUUUUAAAGGGAGAUAAUUGAUCUAUUGUUAGGACACGAAUUACUAUCUGAUUAUACAUUGGUUUACUUGAUUCUAAUUAUCUUAACUCUAGCCAACUUACUUUCUUUUAUACAUUCUUUCGAUUAUCAGUAACCCAUAUUCUUCUAAAUUAUCGCUUUGACUAAAAUCUCUUUUUUCUUGUUAAACAAAUUGGUUUCGUUACCGCGAAUAUGAUAAUCUAUUCUCUUUUAACUUAACUUUCCUUGCUGCAUCCACCAUUUCGAACAACAAGGAAAACAUUCAAGGAAACCAAGAAAACUAAUAACUUCAGGGAGACCCACAUGAUAAUAACGCAAUGAUUACUUCUCCACGAGGCUCUCCAUGUCGAUCUCGUGAAGGCACUCCUAAUGGAUCUCAUACAAAUGGACAGGCUCAACUUAAAAAUGUUUAAGCUAUGGAUGAGGCUUUGCAAAAACUUAUUGCCUCACAGGUAAAUAAAGCUCUUCAGGAUAUAUUAGCCAGUUUCUUGUUGCACCAUCCACACCUACUCCAAAUAAUAAUACUUUGGAGAACCCUCAUUCCGGGCUUGUUAAUUCAGGUAAUGGUGGAACCCCCAGCAAAUCAUAGGAAGGAAAACCAGGUAACUUAGUUAAUUCUGAUUUGAAAAAUUCAGUACUAACAUUGCAUAAACAGCUCAAGGAGUGAAGUGACCGCAUAUCGCAAAUACCCUAUGUACUGCCCCUAUUCAAAGGGGUAGAUAUGGAUAAAUAUUCACAAUAACCGUGGAAGCUAUGUUUUGCUCCCCUCCCAAUUCCAAAUAAAUUCAAAAUGCCUGAUAUUCCAAAAUACGAUGGAACAAUAGACCCACAUGAUUACAUGACUGCAUUCACGACAGGCGUAAAAGGAAAUGAUUUGACAAAGCAGGAGAUUGAAUCAGUAUUGUCAAAAACUUUGGAGAAACACUCACCAAGUAUGCAUUAACAUGGUAUUCUCUUUUACCCAAAAAUUCUAUAAAUUCUUUUGAUGAGCUUUCAUAUUCUCUCAUCAAAGCAUACUCAGGAGUUCAAAAAUUUGAAAAAGAGGAUGGAAGAUAUUUUCAAUAUCAAGCAAGGGGACUCAAAAUUACUUAGGGAGUUCGUAGAUAGAUUCCAACGUAAAAGAACAAUCUUGCCCCGUGUACUUAAUAAUUGGGCCGCUAUAGCUUUCACAAGUAAUUUGAGAGAAAAAAGGUCAGAAGCUACAAGGCGACUCAAGGAAAGCCUUUGUGAAUUCCCAGCUAUAACAUGGAAUAACAUUUACAACAGGUAUAGUACGAAGUUGAGAAUAGAAGAAGAUAUCGUUCCUCGAUUUCAAAAAAAGGAAAAAGGGUAGCGCGAGAAGGGCGAAAACCGAAAAGAGGUCCGGUAAAAAUAGGUACGAGCCAUACAUGGGAUUUGUGGGAAAAGACUCACGGUCAAAAUAGGACUAUCAAAGGUAUAAUCCCAGAUCAAGGAAUAGAGAGUUAGGAUCUUCAUCAAGAUUUGGGAAUUAUCGAAACACCCAAGAGUCACGAGAUGAGGAUAGAGCGGUUACAAUUUCAAUGCAAGCACGUACGAACUCGUAGCUGCUUUAAGAAACAUGGGUAACAAGGUAUGAUGGCCAAAAGAGAUGAGAUCGAAUCCAAUCAGAGGCAACUCUGACCAUUGGUGCGAGUUUCAUAAUGAUCACGGGAACAAGAUGGCAGAAUGCAGGUUUUUAUAAAGUGAAGUUGAUCAUCGAUUAAAACAGGGGUACCCCACCGAGUUAUUCAGUGAGAAAGGUAAACAAGCUUAUAUGAAGAAUAGGAGGAGCCUCCAAAAUCACCUUCACCCAAAAAGACCGUCAAUGUCGUAAGCGGAGGGGAAGAUAUCAACGGUGUGACAUACAAGACAUCCAAUAAAGUUUCUAAGGUCACCAUUACCCACAUAAAGCGGGUGCGACAUGUCUUAGAAGAAGAAAGUAUUACCUUUGAUGAUGCAAAUGCGGGUGGCGUAUUAUCUCCACAUAACGAUGUACCGGUAAUAACUCUACUUGUACAUGAUACUAAUGUACAACGAGUUUUGAUUGAUCCAGGAAGUUCUGUAAAUAUUAUCCUACUAAGGGUACAGUACGUGAAAUGCAAGCUAAUGAUAAUUUAGUACCAAAGGCGCAUACUCUGUCUGGAUUUGACAAUUCCAGCAUCGUAAAAAAAAGGAGAGGCAAUACUUACUACUUUCGCAGAAGGUGUAAUCAAAGAUACUAAGUUUCAGGUAGUAGAUAUUGAGAUGUCCUAUAAUAUGAUCCUUGGGAAACCAUGGAUUGACGAGAUGGAUUUUUUUCCAUCAACCUUACAUCAAAUUAUUAAACUCCCAUCAACAUGGGGAAUAUGUCAAAUCCGUGGGGAUCAACAUACAUUUAGAAGCAUCAAUUCUGUAGCAGAUUCAAGUACAAGAAAUGAAGAAAUAUUGCAACUGCAGAAUCGAAUUGAGGAAAUCACAACAUAAACCUCCAAUUGACAAGAGCAUAUUGAUGUGGACUCAAGGGCAGACACCAUUCAACAGCCAGAGGGAAAUGAAAAUACCAAAUUAACGAUUGAAGAAUUAGAAGUCGUAGUAUUAUUCGAACAAUGGCCUGAAAGGAAAGUUUAUGUGGGAGCCAAUCUGAGCCCAGAUAUGAAAAUUAUGUUAAUUGGAUUCUUAAAAGCUAGCGUGGAUUGUUUUUCUUGGUCCCACUCUGAUAUGACAGGAAUACCACCGGAGGUAAUGACUGACAAGUUAAACGAAGACCCAUUUUAUUCUCAUAUCAAACAAAAGAAGAGAAAGCAAGGAACUUUCCAAAAUCAAGUGAUUCAAGAUGAGGUUCAAAAAUUACUAAAUAUUGGGUCUAUCCGCGAGGUAAAGUAUCAUAAUUAGUUAGCUAAUACUGUUGUCGUACCAAAAGAAUGGUAAGUGGCGAGUUUGUGUAGAAUACACAGAUCUUAAUAAAGCAUGUCCUAAAGAUUCUUUUUCAUUACCACAUAUAGAUCAACUAAUUGAUGCUACUGCAGGGCAUGUGCUAAUAAGUUUUUUAGAUGCAUAUUCAGGGUACAAUUAGAUCAAAAUGGAUCCAGUGGAUGAUGAAAAAACUUCAUUCAUACCAAGCAGGGGGACUUACUUUUAUAAAGUAAUGCCAUUUGGUCUGAAAAAUGCCGGUGCAACAUAUCAAAGGUUGGUCACUAAAAUGUUUCAAGAAUAUUUGGGAAAAAACAUAGAGGCUUAUAUAGAUGAUAUGCUAAUUAAAACUUAGCAUUCAAGGUAUCAUAUAUCUCAUUUAUCUGAUACAUUUCAAAUUCUGUGCAAAUUUAACAUGAAGUUAAAUCCCGAGAAAUGUGCAUUUGGCGUCGCAUCAAGUAAGUUUUUAGGUUUUCUUGUUUCUAACCAUGGUAUUGAAAUGAAUCCCGCACAGAUUAAGGCCAUUGAAGAAAUCCCUGACAUGAUUUCAAGCAAAAAAAAAGUUCAGAGAUUAACAGGAAGAAUUGCAGCCUUGGGAAGAUUCAUUUCUAAAUCAUCGUAAAAGUGUUGUAUAUUCUUCUCACCUCUAAAAGAGCAAGAUUAUUUUGAAUGGAAUGAGGAAUGUUAGCAGGCACUUAGAAAUUUAAAAACAUACUUAUCAAAUACACCGUUGCUCGCAAAACGAAAGGUUGGGGAAAGAUUACUUAUUUACCUUGUUGUUUCAGAAAUAGCAGUAAGUGUUGUUUUAGUCCGAGAAGAACAAAGUAAAGAAUACCCCAUCUAUUAUGUUAGAAAAUCUUUGUUAGAUACAGAGACAUGGUAUCCGCAAUUGGAAAAACUUGCAUUUGCAUUUAUCAUGGCAUCUAGGAAGUUAAGACCUUAUUUUCAGUGUCAUCCUAUUGUUGUAGUAAUUGCUUACCUGUUACGUAAUAUAUUACAUAAGCAUGAAUUGUCGGGAAAGUUAGCUAAGAGGGAUGUUGAAUUGAGAGAAUAUUAUAUCAGUUACCAACCUAGAACCGCUAUAAAAUUUCAGGUAUUAGCGGAUUUCGUGGCUGAUUUUAGCCAAGGGAUGCAAUUAGAAGAAAACAAAGAAUUGCAGGUGUUCAAUGGAGCUAACCCAGGGACCUAGACCUUAUUCACUAAUGGUUCAUCCAAUGUAAAAGUUGCACGUUUUGGGAUCGUUUUGGCACCAACUAUGGGUGAAACCAUUCGAAAAGCUAUCAAAUGUAAUUCUAUAAUUAACAGUGAGGCAGAAUAUGAGGUUGUGAUUGCAGGUUUAGAGCUGGCACAAGAACUCGGCAUAAAUUAGAUUGUAAUCAAAAGCUAUUCACAACUCGUGGUUAAUUAAAUGUUGGGGAGUUAUGCAGCCGAAGAGGCGAGGAUACAUCAGUAUUUAGAAAAGGUACGGGAAUUGAUAAUGCAAUUUAAAACCUAGAAAGUUGCACAAAUACCAAGGGAUGAAAAUGUUUAAGCAGACGCUCUAGCUAAUCUCGCAUAUGUACUGUGGAGUUAUAUAGCCGGAGAGGCGAGGAUGCAGCAGUAUUUAGAAAAGGUACGGGAAUUGAUAAUGCAAUUUAAAACCGAGAAAGUUGCACAAAUACCAUGGGACGAAAAUGUUUGAGCGGACACUCUAGCUAAUCUCGCAUAUGUAGCUGACAUGGAAAACGAUGCAAACACUUCAGUUAUUCAUUUAUUUUAUUCAGCCCUUGACCUGGAUAAGAAUGAGGUAAGUUUUAAUAACUUUACUUGGGAUUGGAGGAAUGAGAUUGUUGUUUUUUUUGCAGUAUGGUACUGUCCCUGAUGAUAAAAAGAAGCACAUGCACUUCAAAAAAGGGAUGCUCCGUACUGCUUAAAGCAAAAAAAUCUUUAUCAUAAAAUGAUCGGUGAUCCCUUAGCAAGAUGCCUCGGACCUUCUCAAACAGAGUAGGUAAUGAGAGAAAUACACAAAGGACAUUAUGGAAAUCAUGCAGGUGGAAGAUUCCCGGUAAGAACCUUAAUUAGGAAAGGUUAUUACAGGCCUAAAAUAGAAUAGAAAGCAGAAAGUUUCGUGGCUAAAUGUGACAAAUGGCAAAGGUAUGGUAACAAUAUGCAUAGACCUGCGGAGUUAUUACAUCUAGUCAUUUCACUGUGUCCAUUUAUGAAAUGGGGAAUGGAUAUCGUGGGUCCAUUACCACAAGCAAAAGGACAUUCAAAGUUUUUUCACGUACUCACUGAUUAUUUUACUAAAUGGGUAGCCGCAAGAGAAUUAAAAUAGGUGCAAGAAAAGGAAGUCAAAGAAUAUAUUUGGUGGAAUAUUAUAUGCUAACUCGGUGUACCAAAGGAGAUCGUAUGUGAUGAUGGCCUUCAGUUUAUAGGAGCUCAAAUCACGGAAUUCUUUCAAAGUUGGUAGAUUAAAAGGAUUACAUCUACACCUUAUCAUCCGAUGGGUAGUGGGCAAGCAGAAUCACUAAACAAAGUCAUUAUCAACAAUUUAAAGAAGCGCUUAGAGGAAUAAAAAUGUAACUAGCCUGAAUUGUUGCCUUGAGUUUCAUGGGCAUAUCGCACAACAACAAAAAUGAGUAUAGGAGAAAAACCAUUUUCAUUGGUUUAUGGUGCUGAAGCUUUAAUUCUAGUUGAUAUAGGAUAACCGAGUGCACGGUUCAAACAUGCCAUAGAAAAAUCUAAUGACGAGGAGAUGCGGGUCAACCUUGAUUUAUUCGAAGGAAGGAGAGAAGUUGCACUAAUAAGAAUGGCAGCACAAAAACAAUUCAUAGAACGAUAUUACCACCGAAAAUCACGCCUCAAAUUCUUCAAAAUUUAGGACUUCAUGCUCAAAAGGUUAUUCAAUCUAGAAAGACAGCGAACGCGGGUAAAUUAAGCCCAACAUGGGAAGGACCCUAUAGAGUUCGUGAUAUUGAAGGAAUAAGAGCAUAUGAACUGGAGACAAUAGAUGGAAAGAUACUACCUUCACAUUGGAAUGUUGUUCAUCUGAAGAGAUACUAUUUCUAAGGAAUACCCACGGUCAGGUAUCCAUGUUUUAAAUUUAAUUUUUGAAUUGAAUUGUUAAAAUUUUACUAACAAUUUUAGAUGAUAGGCAAAAAGUUAACCCGUACUAAUUGAUGAGUUACGACUUGUAAGGCACAUAGAAUAAACUAAAAUUUCUAGCCUAGGGUUACAAUUAUUCUGAUAGAAAUACAAACAGGUUGAGCAGUCUUCAUCAAUAAUUGUACCUCCGAGUCCCGUGAAUUUUUCAUUUUCAAGAAAUGACCAAAUGAGAGGAACAAUCAAGUGUUCGAGGCUUCAUACUUCAACGCUCAAACACUUGGGGACUACAUAAUUUACACAUGCAUGUGUAUAAAGAAGACAAAGAAGAUUGAGAAAAAUCAAAGACCAAGCCUGAAAAACUCAAGUGCACAGAAAAAAUCACGAAGUCACGAGCUAGGACAAAUAAAAACCUUACUAUAGUUAGGGUAAAGGCUAUGUAGUGAAAUGGGUCAUAAGGAAAAACCUCCUAUUUAUUAUAUGUACUAAAAUGGGUUAUGAGGAAAAACCUUGUGUAUACUAUUCUUCUUUUCUAAAAUUUGUUACAAGAAAAACAGUGAAGAGAAAGUUAUAGAUGUAAUUUAAAUACAUGUAAAGUAUUAUUCAAAACUAGACAAGGUUCAAAGAAACAUGUGUGUUCCUAUUUCUUUUAUCGUAUGUUAAUACCAUUAUGAAGUUGAGACGUCUUCUUCAUUAAGUGUCGAAAUAUAAAAGGUCCUCUUUUAAAAACUUAUAUUUAAAUUAAUUAGUCAUGAGGAUAAUAGAAGCAUUUUUGAAGAAAAAAAUGCAAAAUAUUCUGUAAUUCCUUAAGAAUAAAGACAAGAAUAAAAUAAACAUAAGUUCAAGAUAAUAACAUGAAAACUUCUUAAUAGUUACAAACUUAAGACUAUGUAUGAACUUAGUCGAAAAACUAUGAAUUGUUUAUACAGAUUGCCCCAUGAAAAGACUUGGGGACUUGCCUUUCCAAAAUCAACCAUCAAAUGAAGCCUAGUGUUUGAUUACAAUUUUCCAAAUAAAAAAACAAAGUCAUUCAAAUAACUAAGGUUGGUCACUGAGAAGUAGGAGGAACUGAAACAAGAGCAUCAAUAGCAACAGGCUCAGUUUGGGCGGGUGCAUCAACAGUUGUGGGUUCAACGUGACUUGCAGCAACAUGAUCGACUAGGCUUGAAAGAAUUGGGAUUCUGGAAUCGACUUCAAUGUUCAUAGAAGCUUCAGCCACGGGAGAAGGAAACUCUUGAUUUUGCUGAACUUUCUCAGUGGUUUCAUUGAUCUUAGCCAACUCAGAUUCCAAGUUGAAGUUUUCUUGGCUAGCUUCGAUUAGGGUAUCACGGCGGAAAUUCAAAAAUUCCCAACUCACCUCAAUAGCACAUUUAUCUUUAAGGGGAUCAUAAUCCCCUUUCCCAAUCAGAAAUCUCAUUAAUUAGCUUCUCAAUUUUAGCCAAGGCAGAGUUGUAAGAAGUUUGAAGAGAGGCAUGGGAGCUUUCUAAAGCAUGCACCUUAUGAGAAGAGACUCGAAGGUCUGCUUGUGCUUGAGUUAAACUUUGCACGAGCUCCCCAGCGUAAGUUUCUUUUUUUCUCAAGAGAGCCUUCAACUCUCUAUUUUUUUCACUAGACUUGGAUAGUUGUUCUGAGAAGGAAGAUUCAAGACGCUCUUUUUUCUUUUUCUGGCUGGCUUGAGAAAGCUUUUACAACUUCUAACUCUAAGGUUAAAUCCCGCACAUGUUGUUCCAAGGUACUCGUGCUCUCUUCUAAGAACUCCACAUCAAUUUGUAAGCUCUCGAACUGUUCCUUCCAGUUGCACGCAUCUAAUUGAGAAUCACGUGCUAACUGCUCCAAGAGGGGGAUUCUGUUCAUUUCUGUGCCCUAUAAGAUUGGCCUAAAAAAAAGAGGAAGGAUAAUAAGAAUCCCAAAGAUAGGGAAAUUACAAAGAAAAAAAGAGAAGGUGAAUACCUUCUAAGUGCAUGCACAAUAUCAUUCAUCAGAGUCAGGGAGCUAUGGCUCUCCAACUUGGCUUUUUCAAUUGGGCCAACUAAAGGCUCUAGCCAAACAUCCGCCUGACCUGACUUCCUCACAAGACUGCUCUCAACAGGAACUUCAAUGACAACCUUCUUAAUAGCAGCACUUCUACUUGAAGAACCCACUUCAGUAUGAUGAAUUAUUGGAGGAGGAAUUGUGAAGGAGGAGGAGUAGAAGAGGUAAAAACAGUCGAGGAAAGAACACAAAAAGCUAGCGUUGUCAAGGAAGGAAUCAGAGGCACGAGUGUUGAAAUAAAAAAGAAGCUAAUAGUGUUUCGUGUAAAACAUGCCCUAAACCUCCACUACCAAAGCCACUUAUAAAAAGUUGUUUAAUGGACUCACGAGUAUCAGUGGAAGUGACAUCAUCAUCUGAAGUUAUUACCAAGGCUUCUAUUGGCUCGGUGAGAGGAAUGGAAAGACGGGGAGACGCUUCAGCAUCAUCAUCAGAAAUGAUACGUCUUCGAGCCCGCGACCUUGUAACCAAAGAGCCCCCAUAUUCUUUUUCUUCUUCAGAAUCUUUUUCUUCAAUAGCUUUUCUUUUUGCUGAAGUGCCAAGACUAUUUCUUGAGCCCUUUCUAAAGAGAUAUAGGUUCUUAAAGAGAUGCGGGAAGCCGCAACUACCUAGGCAAUAACUCCCCGAAUAGCAAAUUAUUAUAAAAAGAAAGAUUGAAGUUAGAAUAAUAAAAAUAUAUAUACAUGAAAGAUGAAACAAAAUAAAAAUUAUUACCAUGAGUUUUUACUUUCCAACCAUAAUGGUUAGAAAGUGACUUCCAAGACCUACCAUUGGUGCGGUCUUCAACAGCUUGUCUACCCAAUUACGGAAAUUGGGAACAUCCUCCACAACUCCCAUGGUUGCUAAAAAAAAGUAAGAAAUGUUGAUAAACUUGAAGAAAAACGCACAAGAAGGAUACAAGACUUACGUGCAAAAUUCCACUUCUCAGGAAAGGGAACGUUUUCCUUUCCCGCUAAUCCAACAGUGGGGGGCAGCAACAAACCGGGCAUGCCCGCCAUAGUCUUUAUCAUCCUCAAGGCUCACCAAAACCCUCUUGCUCUUGGCUACUAGUGUAAAAAUACCAUUGCGAAAGAGCCUAGGGGAGUAAGGGUGAAUCAAGUGAGGGAAAGUAAAGGAAACACCGGGUGUAUUGGUCAAAUGCCUCAAAAAGGCAACAUCCCUCCAUAUGAUUGGGACAAUUUGACCCCAACUGACGUCGAAGAAACGAAAAAAAUUCAAGAAUGCCUGGGUCAAUAGCUGGUCUAAACCCUAAAGUGAAAGAGUAUGUAUAAACAAAAGAAACCCAGUUAAGUAAGAGGCGAUUCUUUGAUUUGGAUAGGGAUAAUAAUAGAAAAAUCACUACUCCAAUGAUAGUCUUUACGAACUAUAGAAAUCAAACCUUCAGUUUUUUGAGUGGGAUAGACAUCAUCACGAUCUAAAGAAGACACUUGAUUCCGAAAAGACUCUCUGUCAUGAUAAAAAGACAAUUAUGAAGGACUAUCUCUUUUACUAAAGGUUCAUGUAAUGGUUUAGAAGGUUCUUUACCCCUAGAAGAAGAUUUUUGAGAAAGAGAACCCAUGUUUCUAGAAGAGGGACCAGAACUAGGACAGGGCAUAGAAGAACAACCACCAGCAGGCCCAAAACUACGAAGCGUACCUCCCCUUCUACUCCUAAUGGGGGCAUUAGGAAAAGUAUCAACUAUGGAAACUCUCCUAGGGUUAGGGUUUGAUGAAUACAUAGCGAAGAAGGAUGAUACGAGGAAGAAAUAAGGAAAGAAGUUAUAUUUAUAUUGAUAAGCAACCGCCAAAGGAAAAAAAGGCAAUGAUGGAGGGGAUAUAAUAAUGAAAACUGAUGCUUCGUGUACAAUGGAGCCGUAAAAGAACUUUAAAAGGGGCUUCAAAACUGCAGGACUAAUGUGAAAGUGACACGUGUGAAGAGCAUUAAAUAGAAGUGACAAUUGAGAAAAUUGAGUUUGCAUAAUAAAGUGGAACAAAGAUGACGUGUCAAAGACACGUAGAGUGGUCAAAAAGUUACAAUUAGCAAAGAAAUACGAGCAAAGGCUAAGGAAGAAGCAUGGGCAGUUAUUCAAAUGACUCAGCGCCCGUACCUAUUUAAGUCCUUGAAGUCCUAGAAUCAAAGGGAAUAAAAAAGAGUACAGAUACAACAUUUAAUGCCGAAUACGUUAUGGAAUCUGUAUUAAAUAUAAUGAUUAUGUAACGUAGUAUUCAAUGUCUUUAAUUACACAUAAUAUCCUCAUUAGGGCAUAGGCAAAAUGCCUAUCUCCAAGGUAUCUAUAAAAGGGAGAUAUUUGAUCAACUGUGAGGAAACGAAAUACUAUCUGAAUAUACUUUGAUUUACUUGUUUCUGAUUAUCUUACUUCUAGCCAAAUUACUUUAUUAUAUAUAUUCUUUCGAUUAUCAGUAACCCGUGUUCUUCUAAAUUAUAGCUUUGACUAAAAUUUUAUUUUUUGGUUAAACAAUGAGAAUAACGUACAACCUGAAAUUGGACUAGGCACUCGUAAAACGGUUUGAGCCAGAUGUGGGAAAGUCUUGGCUCUUAAAAUUUGCGCUUCAAGCGCCCACAUGUACCCAUAAAAGGCAUCCGAGCCCAUCACAUGAGGCUCGUCCAAUUGAUUUUGUGCAAUCGAGUGUAAUUAGUUAUGUAAAUCCAUAAAUUCCUUAACCAAGCUGUCUAUAUUGACCAUAAAUCAUAAGUGAGAACAUUGCAAGCUUUGUCUUGUCUUUAAAACAUUAGGGGGUAAAGUUAACCUAUACCUAUAUUGGUGGAAGAAAGCAGACGCAGUCCAUGUUUUGUUAAACUUACCCAGACAACCAUUUAUUAUCGCGAGAGAUAACUUCAAAUAAUAGUAAGAAAAUGUUUCUUCAUUAAUUUACUUCACCUGAGGUACUCCAUUUAUUACCACGAGAGAGAGCUUCAAAUAAUUGUAAGAAAAUGUUUCUUGAUUCAAUUACUUCACCUGAGGUACAUAUCACAUUAUGUUUCCAAGAUUGUUUUUUUUUUCUUUUGAUGUUGGAUUGUUGAUGUUCCAUAUCUAUGCUAAUGUUUUCACAAUUAUAUUUAUUUAAUUAGAGUUUUAAAAGAUUAUUGUGUUUUUAGCAAUUUAUUUUUAACUAUCCUACUAUUUGUAGAUUUAUAAAUUAGUUAAAUUUAAAGAUUUAUGGGGCUUGCACACCAUGUCUGGAGCUACACUUCGCCUUGGGCGUCCAUCCUUCAAUACACUACGUCAAACCUUAAAGCGUUAACUUUGGAGCUUACACUUCGCCUUGGGCGUCCAUCCUUCAAUACACUACGUCAAACGUUAAAGCGUUAACUUUUGCCAUUUUUGUGCUUUUCAAUUUUUAUUUAAAUCUUUUCAACUAAGUUUGAAUAGAUGUUCAGGAGGUGUACUUAUGGACUAACGAAUGACUUCAGUCUAUUAAAGUACGCAGUAUUAGACAAAGAAGACGACACAAUUAAGAAAAGUAGAAUGCAAAGAAUCUCGAUAUAAUAAUGAGCAGAAUUGAUGGAGAUCUCAAGGAUGUUACUUAAAUUAAACAAUAAAUAAUACAGAUUAUUAAAACAAAAGAACAUUGAACACAUAAUAAGCAAACCCGAUCAUUUCGAGAAGCAUAUAUCAAAUUUUGGCUGAGGAAAUGGAGUUUGCCAAAAAAGGCCAAAAAGGAACACAUCAAAUUUUGGCUGAGGAAAUGAAGUUGCCAAAAAAAGGCCAAAAAGGAAUAAAAAUCAUGGAAUUAAAUGGCGAAAAUGACUGAAUAGUUAAAAUUAGUAGUAGGUCGGAGGAGGAGAUGAUGAUGGGGGUGGAGGUGAACCAUACGUGGCGGAUUGCUCGUACUUCUCAGGCGGUGCUGGUGACACAUAGGCAGGAGUUUGCUUAUAAUAGUUAGUUGGUGGUGGAGGUGAGUAAUAAGAUGGUGAUUUUUCAUAGGUCUUUGGUAGAGACGGCAAGUUGUAAGUUAUAGGUGGUUGCUCGUAGUAUUUUGGUGGAGGUGGAGGAGAUUUAUAAGAAGGUGUAGAUCCUUUGUAGUAUGGAGGAGGUGGAGAUUUAUAAGAAGAUAGUGAUUGCUCAUAGUAUUUUGGUGGGGAUGGAGAUGACUUGUAAUAAGGUGAUUGCUCAUAAUAUUUUGGAGGAGGUGGUGUAUGUUGGAGGAGGUGGGGGUGAAUUAUAGUACGAAGGUGAUUUCUCAUAAUAAGUUGGCGGUGGUGGAGAUUUAUAGUAAACUGGGGACUUGUAAUUUUUUUUUGGUGCCGGUAACUUAUAAUAUUUAGAAGGAGCAGGUGAUUUAUAGUAUUUUGUUGCGGAUGGUGACGUGUAGUACUUUGCAGGUGAUGGCGCUUUGUAGUACUUUGCAGGUGAUGGUGACUUGUAGUAGUUCAAUGAAGGAGCUGGUGACUUGUAGUAUUUUGAAGGAGCUGGUGACUUGUAGUAUUUUGCAGGAGCUGGGGACUUGUAGUAUUUUAUGGGAACUGGCGAUUUGUAGUGUUUUACAAGAGCUGGCACCUUGUAGUAUUUUGCGGGAACUGGCGAUUUGUAAU
rnacentral:lncRNA from 1 species